rnacentral:tRNA from 1 species
GGGGAUAUAGCUCAGAUGGGAGAGCGCUUGCAUGGCAUGCAAGAGGUCGUCGGUUCGAUCCCGAUUAUCUCCACCA